rnacentral:rRNA from 1 species
AGGAUAAACGCUGGCGGCGUGCCUAACACAUGCAAGUCGAACGUCUCUUCUUUCGGGAAGAGGAGUGGCGGACGGGUGAGGAACACGUGGGAACCUGCCCUUUAGUGAGGAAUACCGGCGAGAAAUCGCCGACAAGACCGCAUAGCCCUCUUUGAUGAGAGUCAAAGAAGGAAAGCUUCGCAAGAGGCGCUAGAGGAGGGGCCUGCGUCCGAUUAGCUAGUUGGUGGGGUAAGAGCCUACCAAGGCGUCGAUCGGUAGCUGGUCUGAGAGGACGAUCAGCCACACUGGGAUUGAGAACGGCCCAGACUCCUACGGGGGGCAGCAGUGAGGAAUUUUCGGCAAUGGGGGAAACCCUGACCGAGCAACGCCGCGUGCAGGAAGACGGCCUUCGGGUUGUAAACUGCUUUUCUUGGGACGAGACGGACGGUACCAGAGGAAUCAGCCCGGCUCACUACGUGCCAGCAGCCGC